rnacentral:lncRNA from 1 species
AAUCUAUUUUUUAUUUUUUCCUAAAAUUCUAAUAUUAAUUUAUAAAAUUUAUGUUUUAAGCAUAAUAAAUGUAUUUUUUAUACUCAAUAUCAAAAUUAGUCAAUUCAAUGGCUCACAAAAUCCUAAAUAUAUUCUAUUUUAAUCUUAAAUAAAUCGUUAUCAAAUCCUAAUUAAAUCCUAUACAAAACCUUAACAAACCUUAUUCAAAUCCUAAACAAAAACUUAACAAACCUUAAUCAAAUUCUAAUCAAUUCCUAAAUAUUUCCUAAACAAUUCCU